GCAAAUCUGGUGGAAUUAUUUCAACGGAACCAACCAAGCCUAUUCGCUUGUUGAAAAUUGAAACUCCCAAAACUCAUUUCCCUCGGUCACCGUAACUGAAACUCCGGCCACCUAGAUGGCCACCUCCACUUCGUCAGUAUUUUUCGUAAUUAAUCAGAGACCAAUUCAAUCACCAGCUCCGUUCUCUCCCAAAUCAUGCUACAGGAAAUUGAGUUUCAAGAGGCUUCAUCAAUCUCACCGAGUUUCCUGCGAUUACUCUUGCGUCGAAGUUAGGGGUGUUAGCUAUAGGCCUCCGGGAACCCAGCUCAACCUUCUAAAUGAAGUUAGUUUUUCUCUUCCAGAGAAGAGUUUUGGAUUGAUUUUUGGACAGAGUGGGAGCGGUAAAACUACUCUCUUGCAGCUUCUUGCUGGGCUAAGUGAACCAACAUCAGGUUCCAUUGGCAUUCAAAGAUAUGGGAAUGAUGGCAAUCCAUGUCAUUCUCCUGAACCACUACCUCCAGAAAAAGUUGGUAUUGUCUUUCAGUUUCCGGAGAGGUAUUUUGUGGCAGAUACUAUACUCAAUGAAGUUAUUUUUGGAUGGCCAAGGCUAAAGGGCAGCCUUCAAUUGAAGGAGCGUCUUGCUCUGAAUCUUCAGAAAGCUAUUACUUGGGUUGGAUUAAAUGGCAUCUCCCUGGAAAAAGAUCCUCACUCCCUUAGUGGUGGCUACAAACGUAGGCUUGCUUUGGCUAUCCAAUUAGUACAAGUUCCUGAUCUGUUAAUUCUGGAUGAACCUCUUGCUGGUCUUGAUUGGAAGGCUCGAGCGGAUGUCAUAAAUCUUUUAAAGCAGCUGAAGAAAGAAUUAACUGUUCUUGUUGUCAGUCAUGACCUCAAAGAGCUAGCAGCUCUAGUUGAUCAUUCUUGGAGGAUGGAAAUGGGUGGAUAUCUCAAAGAAGAGCUGCUUCCCAUAUAGCAUGGGAGUCUACUAUUGCUACCAUAUCAACAUUAGAGGCUACAAGUAUUCCCCAUUUCCAUUGGAGUUCCCAUUUCCAUUGGAGUUACUUUCACUUAGACCAUACUGGGAUAGUUUCAAGUUGUUCUUUUCGCAUUGUAUCCCUUCCAUUGACUUGCAUCCUGGAAGAAAUUUUCUGUUGUCUUCGUCCCAGUGCACCAGAGUUGGCAGCAUCAUUGGAAGAAGAAGGAGCAGGAUUUCUUGAAGCAUGAAACUUUCCAAGUAUCUUUCUGAUGAGGUGUUUAGCAGAUUUAUGUGCUUCCUUGGCAUGCAUCUCUCUUGUCCCUUCAGUUCCUUUGGAAGAUUCGUCUAAAAUCUUUGUCCUACGAAACAGCUCCCUGAGAGAUACUUUUUCCUUCUUUAAUUCAAUUGUUGUUUCUUGCAGUUCUAUUGAUGAACCAAAUAGAUAUCCUUGAAGUGGACAUAGUGCAGUGUUUCUAUAAUCAUCAGCAUUGGCUCCCUCUGUUUGUAUGCCGCUGAGUGUAAUAUUGCUUACGUAACUGCUCCUCGCCAAUGAUUCAUUGCAACCUUCUUCAGCUUCAGCAUCAAUAAACUUUUCUAUUUCAUUGUUGAUGAGCUUCAAGUCGUUCUCUUUUGCCUCUAUUUUUUCAUCUGCUAUGUUCUCCAAAGACAUGGGAAAUGUUGGCGUUGCUGGUUCACUGUUGACUUGUUUUGAACCAAGAGUUCCAAUUGCAAGGAAACCAUGAAAAAGCUCAGGCAUGGCACUAGAUGUUUGAUCUUCUUGAUUACCUUCUGCUUUCUUGGCUUCAACUUCGGAUAAAGCAUUGUCAGAUACCUCAUGUCUGGAGUCAAACCUUGGUCUUAUAUAGGAGACUUUGUCAUCAACGGGGGACUUUGCUGAAAGGCAAACACAAUAGUUCCCUGAAGACAGAGUAUUGAGAAGAAUGAAGACAACAUGGGAAGCAAGCAUUUUAUUGGAGUGUUUAAGCAAGCAAUAAUAGCAUUCAUUGUCACUUGAUUUCUACCUUUACGAUUGUGUAUCAUUAUAGUGACUAAGCAACUCUCAGACGAAUGAACAUGGUAGGUUAGAGAAUCAUUUAGUUAAACAACAAUGCGGUAGUACUGUACAUGACACAUUAUUUGAAUUACAAGGUGGAUGCUAUAUAUGUUCUUAUCUA